AUGGUCGCCCCCUCAAAGCCUCGGAAGGCCUUGCCCAAGAUCAAGAUGUACGUUCCCGUCGCUUCUGCUGCUGUGACUUCUGCGACCUCCAUGGACAUUUACAAGGAUCAAGAUGAUGAGGAAACUGAAGACGCGACCCUUCUAGAGCGGUCUUGUGCAGCACCACAAGAUGUCAUUGAGCUUCGAAACGACGACGAAGACGUGCCCCAGAAGACCACGGGAAGAAAGGACAGGACUUCGAGCAGGAGGGCGCCUGCCAGCUGUUGGAAAUAUGCCCUAGAGGCAAUAAUAAAAUGGUUAUUAUUGUAUUUCCUUGUUCAUGAUAAUUGUCUAUUGUUCAUGCUAUAA
rnacentral:rRNA from 1 species